GUUGCCCCUAGUACGAGAGGACCGGGGUGAACGAUCCACUGGUGGACCAGUUGUCGACUACGGCAGUGCUGGGUAGCUAUGAUCGGACAGGAUAACCGCUGAAAGCAUCUAAGCGGGAAGCCCCCCUCAAAACAAGGUAUCCCUGAGGACCGAGGUAGACCACCUCGUCGAUAGGCCAGAGGUGUAAGCGUGGUAACACGUUCAGCUGACUGGUACUAAUGGUCCGAUAGGCUUGAUUUG
rnacentral:rRNA from 1 species